GUUGACCUUCAGGUUCUGCCGAUAUCCAGGUAGAUUAAUGAAUUUGUAAAGAUGGAAGUGACAAAAGUUAUUUGCAGAUGUUCUGCUAGAAAAAGUUGCAUUCUUAAACACAUCUGGCACAAUGUGUUUUUUCAGGUUUCAGUCUAAAGAUCAAGGUAACCCUAACAAUGGGGAUUAACAUGAAGCUUUGCUGGUAUCCAGGCAACUGAUGAUGUCAGUCUUAUCACACAGAAGGCAUUCUGACCUUCAGAAAUUUACAUAAGUGAUGAUGAUACCUCUAACAUUUGUGUUACCGUGUUUUUUGGGGUUUUGCAGAUAUUCAGGUACCGAGUCAAGUGAUUAUGACAUAUCCAUGGUUUUGACCUUGAUAUUCUGCAAGUAUCAAGGUGCUGUCAGUGGAUGA
rnacentral:lncRNA from 1 species